UUCUUGACUGUCAUCUGCUUGACUUCCCUCAUCAUUGGCCUAGUGACAAAUGUUUUCUAGAUGCCUUCUCCAUGCCCAGCCCUGUGCUAGAGAAUCUUCCCACAUCUCAGAAGACACUUGACAUAUUCCUUGUUGUUGUAUUCUUGGUGGUCAUCAUUGGUUCUGUCUUCGUGAUUUAUUUCUUCUGUCCAACACAACUCCAGAGAGCCAGAGAAGUGGUAUCCAUAGUGCCCAGAUCAAGAAGAUGGAUGGAGAAGUAGCAGGGACCAGCAGGGAUCCUCCUGCCUGGCCUGGGGACAACCACCUUCUGGGUCAGCUACAGGAAGACUCAUCUUCCCGAGUUCAAAUCUGACCUCAGACAUUUACUCACUGUGUGAGACCCAUGGCAA